UGAUGGGGUCUCAGGCUCAGCUCUUCUGCCUCCUGCUUCUCUGGAUCCCAGAUGCCAGAGGAGCCGUUGAGCUGACCCAGUCUCCAUCCUCCCUGUCUGUGUCUCCAGGAGAGACGGUCACCCUGUCCUGCAGGGCCAGUCAGGGCAUUAGUAAGAGCUUACACUGGUACCAACAGCCCCCAGGCCAGGCUCCCAGGCAACUCAUCCGCUAUGCUUCCACCCUGCAGCCUGGGAUCCCUGCCCGAUUCAGUGGCAGUGGCUCUGGGACAGAUUUCUCUCUGACCAUCAGUGGGGUAGAACCCGAGGACAUCGCAGACUAUUACUGUCAGCAGAACUAUAACUGGCCUCUCACACAGUGCUUCAGCUCUGAACAAAAACCUGGCCAGGCAGCUGCUAAGGGAGCCCCCACUGUCUCAGGGGCUUCUCCUUCCUCCACAGCUGGGACAGGAGCAGCUUGUCUGGGCUGCCUCUGAGGGAGGUUUCUGGUCUCACAAGAGGAUGCUGGGACUGGGAUGGGUGCUGAGCUUGGUCUCUUCCUCAGCAACAAUCAUGGAGUGAUAUCAGCUCAAUAAAUGGAUGUUACCCCAAA